rfam:Triticum aestivum genome assembly, contig: Triticum_aestivum_CS42_TGACv1_scaffold_472504_6AL
GGUAGCAAAUGAUGUGAAAUAUUAUAUUGGACACUGAAUCUUUGAUAUUUUUACAAAACUCCGCUUAUUAUCUCAUCUGCA